rnacentral:lncRNA from 1 species
AAGAGGAUCACAAUACGAGGGAAACUUCAGCGGUGCUUUGGGUUGCCUCAUUGGGACGUCCAGGGAGUGCAUUAUCGGGCAUUUAACGCACGGACGUAUCAGAAGGGCUUCCAAAAUCCCCCUCGCACACUCGAGCAGCGACGACUCCCUCCGGUCCAUCACCCACCAGGUGCAGGGGAUGCAUCCAGCAGCCCUCCACCGUGUCUCCUGCACCAAGCCCGAGCCACUCGAGGGACCCGUGCGAGUAUUUUGAGGGGAAAAGCCGACUCCCGGCUACACCAGCAGGUACCGAGCUUGAGUCGCCCUCUUCCAGCGGUGGCCCGGCUGCGUGGAGGGCCACUGCCACCCUCUGGCCCGGCCGGGGACAGCAGGCUCCUCUCCGCCACCCAUCUCCCGGCGGCUGGGUGCAGAGCAGACACGGAUUUGCCGUUUUAUUUUCUGUUAAAAGGCUGGAUCUCCCGAUUCUUUACGCCUUACGAGUCAAUAUCAGAGCCCCGAUCUUCCACGGGUUGUUUAAACUCCUGUUGCAGCUGCAGCUGGGGAAUGAUGAUGUAGCUAAUUCUGCUCUGCUGGCUGGGAAUGUCACUCCUAAAUGAAACGGUCCCAAAAUUUUGAAGGAAAAGUUGCAUUAAAAAGCUGUAUUGUUAAAGGCAAAGUACCGUUUGAUAAGCAUUAGGUCAGGAAGCUUAUAUUUGACUCUGGAAAGCAAAACGUCCUCUACACAACCUUAUGUGUUAGAGAUUCUCCCAUACAAGUCUGCAAUCUGGAUCAAUUUAUGCAAUGUGGAAAAUAUAUUAAAUGAUUUGCUAAUGAGAAUACUGUAUUUGUGAGUAAGCACCCCCUUCCUGUUUACCACUGUCUUUGCUUGCUUACAUGCGACAAGAAAUGAUUUACACAGCCCUUACUGGAAGCUGUAAGGGAGAAGGACAGUAGAAUGCAGCUGUCACGUGGCAAAAGAUUGAGUAAGCUGUACAAACAUUGGCACCGAAUAUUAGUUGGAAAAUAGUUUUUUAAAUGUACUCUUUAAAAGCACCAUUCUACAAAAGGAUCGGUAUUUUCUGAAUCUACAGAAAAAUGGAAAUGUUUGAUGCUUGAAAUCCAGUUUAUCCACAUUAACAUCAUCCUCUCUCUCAAAUAGCCAUUUAAGUUGUAAUUCUAAAACAUAAGGAC